CGCGGCCUCGGAGGCGCGCGCUCCCGGGCCGCCCAGGUCGGGCCGCCUCCGGCUGCGCCUCUUGCCCGGAUUCUGGGCUUGGGUUUUCUGGACCUUUCGGCGGUGAAAUCCCCCACUGGCCGCACCCACCCGGGGCGGGGGGAAGGGGGAAGGCUCUCGAACUCCGUGGACUGUGAGUCGGGUUGCGUGCCCGGCCCUGAGUCCGCCACACAGAGGUGGACCGGCGCUCGCCUCUCUUCGAUGCUUUUGUUCUGCAAGCGCUGUGACUGUGCUCAUCGCAUAAACAAUUGCAACUGCCCUGACGACACUGGACCCUCUCCCAGGAUCCCCAACGUCUUCUCAAACCGAAAAUGAAGAAUCUUGUGAGGGAGAAGGAGGAGGGUAGGUAGGAGGAGGCAUUUACAAAAUGCUACCUGUUGAGGUGCCCGCAUUUGAUGGAAACUUCACCCCGAUCAUGCAACAUCAGAGCUGAAAGGAAGGAUUUGGUCCUAACAAAGUUCCUUUCAUUGUUUAUUCCUGAGUAAACAAGUAUGACAUCGACCCAUAGCAAUGCUUUGAGAUUGGGAGUGGGGGGUGGGGGAACAACAGCUGUCAUCAAUCCAGUGUCUGGGGGUCUCGCUGACCCAUCUGAAGAGGGACGCAGAGAAAUGCCUGCUUUCAAUACAUCUAAUUUUAAAUACGCUACUAUAUUCAUCCACCUACCUGUUACAAGUCACCAGCCUCAGUUAUUAUGACGGAACAUACUGCGUUUUCUGUUGUUCUGUCUCAUUGUUCCCGUUUACCAAUAUUAAAGAUACAGCUUAAAAUGUUUUUCUUGCUGUGCUGAAGGGACUUCUUUGCUCCCACCGGCCUUGACUAUUUCAGUAACGUUCAUUCAAUCCUUUUAAUGUCUCUAAUUCAGUAAUCAAAUCUUAACAGGACAGUUGCAUGGGAGGGGAAUGGUAACUAGCGUGGUGCCAGCAGAAUAGAUGUCCAGCAACUGUCUAAAGAAUGAGGAAUAUGGAGCUCACUUUGGGGUAAAAACC
rnacentral:lncRNA from 1 species